UACGUAGGGUGCGAGCGUUGUCCGGAAUUAUUGGGCGUAAAGAGCUUGUAGGCGGUCUGUCGCGUCUGCUGUGAAAAUCCGGGGCUCAACCCCGGACUUGCAGUGGGUACGGGCAGACUAGAGUGUGGUAGGGGAGACUGGAAUUCCUGGUGUAGCGGUGAAAUGCGCAGAUAUCGGGAGGAACACCAAUUGCGAAGGCAGCUCGCUGGGACGUCACUGACGCUGAGACGCGAAAGCGUGGGGAGCAAACAGG
rnacentral:rRNA from 1 species